rnacentral:rRNA from 1 species
CUUGUGACCUUGCGCUAAUAGAUGAGCCUAAGUCGGAUUAGCUAGUUGGUGGGGUAAAGGCCUACCAAGGCGACGAUCUGUAGCGGGUCUGAGAGGAUGAUCCGCCACACUGGGACUGAGACACGGCCCAGACUCCUACGGGAGGCAGCAGUGGGGAAUAUUGGACAAUGGGGGGAACCCUGAUCCAGCCAUGCCGCGUGUGUGAAGAAGGCCUUUUGGUUGUAAAGCACUUUAAGCGAGGAGGAGGCGCUCUAGGAUAAUACCCUAGAUGCGUGGACGUUACUCGCAGAAUAAGCACCGGCUAACUCUGUGCCAGCAGCCGCGGUAAUACAGAGGGUGCGAGCGUUAAUCGGAUUUACUGGGCGUAAAGCGCGCGUAGGUGGCUAAUUAAGUCAAAUGUGAAAUCCCCGAGCUUAACUUGGGAAUUGCAUUCGAUACUGGUUAGCUAGAGUAUGGGAGAGGAUGGUAGAAUUCCAGGUGUAGCGGUGAAAUGCGUAGAGAUCUGGAGGAAUACCGAUGGCGAAGGCAGCCAUCUGGCCUAAUACUGACACUGAGGUGCGAAAGCAUGGGGAGCAAACAGGAUUAGAUACCCUGGUAGUCCAUGCCGUAAACGAUGU